GUAGGUGGCAAGCGUUGUCCGGAAUUAUUGGGCGUAAAGCGCGCGCAGGCGGUUCUUUAAGUCUGAUGUGAAAGCCCACGGCUCAACCGUGGAGGGUCAUUGGAAACUGGAGAACUUGAGUACAGAAGAGGAAAGCGGAAUUCCACGUGUAGCGGUGAAAUGCGUAGAGAUGUGGAGGAACACCAGUGGCGAAGGCGGCUUUCUGGUCUGUAACUGACGCUGAGGCGCGAGAGCGUGGGGGGAGCAAACAGGAUUAGAUACCCUGGUAGUCCACGCCGUAAACGAUGAGUGCUAAGUGUUAGGGGGUUUUCCGCCCCUUAGUGCUGCAGCUAACGCAUUAAGCACUCCGCCUGGGAGUACGGCCGCAGGCUG
rnacentral:rRNA from 1 species